CUAUGAACCUUGGCAAGCUGCUGCUAGUGCUGGCUCUGAGGCUACUUUUUGAGAGAUUUAGAAAACAGAAGCUAGAAGGGUCUUUGAAAGUCAUCUAUCUUUUCCAAGAGUUGCUCAUCAUUAGAACUGCAUGGGAGGUGGAGUGCAUUUCCCCGGACAUUUACACAGUGAUGGCGAACCUAUGACACGCGUGUCAGCACUGACACGCGUAGCCAUUUCUGAUGACACGUGGCCGCAUGCCGAGGAUGAAACAUUUGCUGCUCCUGAGGAUGAAACAUUUGCGACUAGAGUCUUGGAGUUAGUUUUUUCCUCAAAGGGACACACUACCCAAGUUAUGCUCAGUUUUUUGGCGAAGUUUGACACACCAAGCUCAAAAGGUUGCCCAUCACUGAGUCCUAAAUAUAUUUCCUAAAAUCCAAAGAUAAUUUGAAAAUUGUUCUUUAAAACUGAGAUAACUCAAUACAUUUCUUUCAUAUUUGAUAAAUCAAGUGACAUGCAGCAUAC